UGACAGGUGGUGCAUGGUUGUCGUCAGCUCGUGUCGUGAGAUGUUGGGUUAAGUCCCGCAACGAGCGCAACCCCUAUUGUUAGUUGCCAUCAUUCAGUUGGGCACUCUAGCGAGACUGCCGGUAAUAAACCGGAGGAAGUGGGGAUGACGUCAAAUCAUCAUGCCCCUUAUGACCUGGGCUACACACGUGCUACAAUGGUUGGUACAACGAGUUGCGAGUCGGUGACGGCGAGCUAAUCUCUUAAAGCCAAUCUCAGUUCGGAUUGUAGGCUGCAACUCGCCUACAUGAAGUCGGAAUCGCUAGUAAUCGCGGAUCAGCACGCCGCGGUGAAUACGUUCCCGGGCCUU
rnacentral:rRNA from 1 species